AUACGGAGGGUGCAAGCGUUACUCGGAAUCACUGGGCGUAAAGCGCGCGCAGGCGGCCAUUUAAGUUGGAUGUGAAAGCCUACGGCUCAACCGUAGAACUGCAUCCAAAACUAUUUGGCUAGAGUGUGGGAGAGGAAGAUGGAAUUAGUUGUGCAGGGGUAAAAUCCGUAGAGAUAACUAGGAAUACCAAAAGCGAAGGCAAUCUUCUGGAACACUACUGACGCUGAGGCGCGAAAGCGUGGGGAGCAAACGGGAUUAGAAACCCUUGUAGUCC
rnacentral:rRNA from 1 species